UACGUAGGCAGCAAGCGUUGUUCGGAAUUACUGGGCGUAAAGAGUGUGUAGGCGGUGCUCUAAGUCUGUUGUGAAAUCUCCCGGCUUAACCUGGGAACUGCAUCCGAUACUGGAUGGCUUGAAUCCGGGAGAGGGAUGCAGAAUUCCAGGUGUAGCGGUGAAAUGCGUAGAUAUCUGGAGGAAUACCGGUGGCGAAGGCGGCAUCCUGGACCGGCAUUGACGCUGAGUGAGCGAAAGCCAGGGGAGCAAACGGG
rnacentral:rRNA from 1 species